rnacentral:rRNA from 1 species
AACGAACGCUGGCGGCAUGCCUAACACAUGCAAGUCGAACGAGACCUUCGGGUCUAGUGGCGCACGGGUGCGUAACGCGUGGGAACCUGCCCUUAGGUUCGGAAUAACUCCCCGAAAGGGGUGCUAAUACCGGAUAAUGUCUUCGGACCAAAGAUUUAUCGCCUUUGGAUGGGCCCGCGUUGGAUUAGCUAGUUGGUAGGGUAAAAGCCUACCAAGGCGACGAUCCAUAGCUGGUCUGAGAGGAUGAUCAGCCACACUGGGACUGAGACACGGCCCAGACCCCUACGGGGGGCAGCAGGGGGGAAUUUGGGAAAAGGGGCGAAAGCCUGAUCCAGCAAUGCCGGGGGGGUGAGGAAGGCUUUAGGGUUUUAAAGCUCCUUUACCCGGGAUGAAAAUGACAGUACCGGGGAAAAAAGCCCCGGCUAACCCCGU